AUGUUUUGGCAGCAUAUAUACUACAAGAUUGAAACAAUGCAGAGAAGAUUAGCAUAGCCCCUGUGCUUGCAAAUUUUUGAAGUUUUUCAUAUAAAG
ensembl:snRNA Rnu6-603 RNA, U6 small nuclear 603